CACGUAGGGGGCGAGCGUUGUCCGGAUUCAUUGGGCGUAAAGCGCGCGCAGGCGGCUCGGAAAGUCGGGUGUGAAAACUCGGGGCUCAACCCCGGGCGUGCAUCCGAUACUGCCGGGCUUGAGGCAGGUAGGGGAGAUCGGAAUUCCUGGUGUAGCGGUGAAAUGCGCAGAUAUCAGGAGGAACACCGGUGGCGAAGGCGGAUCUCUGGGCCUGUCCUGACGCUGAGGAGCGAAAGCGUGGGGAGCGAACAGG
rnacentral:rRNA from 1 species